rnacentral:rRNA from 1 species
UACGUAGGGUGCAAGCGUUGUCCGGAAUUAUUGGGCGUAAAGAGCUCGUAGGCGGUCUGUCGCGUCUGCUGUGAAAACUCGGGGCUUAACCCCGGGCCUGCAGUGGGUACGGGCAGACUAGAGUGCGGUAGGGGAGACUGGAAUUCCUGGUGUAGCGGUGAAAUGCGCAGAUAUCAGGAGGAACACCGGUGGCGAAGGCGGGUCUCUGGGCAAUUCCUGACGCUGAGGCGCGAAAGCGUGGGGAGCAAACAGG